rnacentral:rRNA from 1 species
UUGCCUACGGGGGGCAGCAGUGGGGAAUAUUGCACAAUGGGGGAAACCCUGAUGCAGCAACGCCGCGUGAAGGAAGACGGUUUUCGGAUUGUAAACUUCUGUUCUUAGUGAAGAAGAAUGACGGUAGCUAAGGAGCAAGCCACGGCUAACUACGUGCCAGCAGCCGCGGUAAUACGUAGGGGGCAAGCGUUAUCCGGAUUUACUGGGUGUAAAGGGAGCGUAGGUGGCAGGGCAAGUCAGAUGUGAAAACCCGGGGCUCAACUCCGGGAGUGCAUUUGAAACUGUCCAGCUAGAGUGCAGGAGAG